CUACGGGCCGCUGCAGUGAGGAAUAUUGCACAAUGGAGGAAACUCUGAUGCAGCAACGCCGCGUGGAGGAUGACGCAUUUCGGUGUGUAAACUCCUUUUAUAUGUCAAGAAAAUGACGGUAGCAUAUGAAUAAGCACCGGCUAACUCCGUGCCAGCAGCCGCGGUAAUACGGAGGGCGCAAGCGUUACUCGGAAUCACUGGGCGUAAAGGACGCGUAGGCGGGAUAUCAAGUCAGGUGUGAAAUCCUACAGCUUAACUGUAGAACUGCACUUGAAACUGGUAACCUAGAGUAUGGGAGGGGGAGAUGGAAUUAGUGGUGUAGGGGUAAAAUCCGUAGAUAUCACUAGGAAUACCUAAAGCGAAGGCGAUCUCCUGGAACAUUACUGACGCUAAGGCGUGAAAGCGUGGGGAGCAGACAGGAUUAGAUACCCCUGUAGUC
rnacentral:rRNA from 1 species